UACGUAGGGGGCAAGCGUUGUCCGGAUUUAUUGGGCGUAAAGAGCGUGUAGGCGGCCAUGUAGGUCCGUUGUGAAAACUCGAGGCUCAACCUCGAGACGCCGAUGGAAACCAUGUGGCUAGAGUCCGGAAGAGGAGAGUGGAAUUCCUGGUGUAGCGGUGAAAUGCGCAGAUAUCAGGAGGAACACCAAUGGCGAAGGCAGCUCGCUGGGACGGUACUGACGCUGAGACGCGAAAGCGUGGGGAGCAAACAGG
rnacentral:rRNA from 1 species